rnacentral:rRNA from 1 species
CCUACGGGGUGCUGCAGUGAGGAAUAUUGGUCAAUGGACGCGAGUCUGAACCAGCCAAGUAGCGUGAAGGAUGACUGCCCUAUGGGUUGUAAACUUCUUUUAUAUGGGAAUAAAACAGGAUAUGCAUACCCUCUUGUAUGUACCCUAUGAAUAAGGAUCGGCUAACUCCGUGCCAGCAGCCGCGGUAAUACGGAGGAUCCGAGCGUUCUCCGGAUUUAUUGGGUUUAAAGGGUGCGUAGGCGGUUUGUUACGUCAGCGGUCAAAAGCCGGGGCUCAACCCCGGCCCCGCCGUUGAAACUGGCAGUCUCGAGUUGGAGUGAAGUAUGCGGAAUGCGCGGUGUAGCGGUGAAAUGCAUAGAGAUCGCGCAGAACUCCGAUUGCGAAGGCAGCAUGCCGGCUCCACACUGACGCUGAGGCACGAAAGCGUGGGUAUCGAACAGGAUUAGAUACCCGGGUAGUC